UGCUACCUGGGGUUAGGGCGAGAACUCUCCCACGUUUGGGACUUCCGUCCAGCCGUCAGCUGCACAAAACCAGCAGCUAGCCAUCACAAAUCUCAGCCAAAACCCCCGAUAUCCAAACUCGUUCUCAAGCAACACUCAAUCAAUCAUCUACCGCUACCCUCCUACCCCUGAAACCAAUCCCUAAAGGUCUUCGAUCGUCGAGUCCAUAGCUGCAGAUUUUGGGGACCAAUCUGACCAGGCGAUCAAAGAAAACAAUGCGGAGGCCGACAUCGCAACUCUCUGUGUACGCGAUCUCUCGUUAGAGGACAAGCAAUCAGAGAAAUCAUCACUGGUCAAUGUACGAGUGGAACAGACGGGUUUACCCUCGACAACCCGCCCGGCAACAUAAAUCUUUCCAGGGGUUGUGGAUACUAAAUCAUCUUCGACAACUUCCUCCCCUGCGGCUGGUCUAACUUUGGUGUCUUAUCUCUUGUUUUGUUUCUCGUCGAACUAUGUUUAUGUAGCUGUUAAUUAGUAUUUUUAUUUUGUUUGUUGGUCAGAACCAAUUUUGUUGGUUCCUUGAGUUAUAUUAAAUGAGUUACGAUAUUGAGGAGCGUUAGGAUAUACAGUUGAUUAAUUAUAUAGUUAAUUGUUUUUCCCGUUGUAAUUUCUAUACAUUGUACUUUUUGGAUUACCAACCAUGGCAUAAUAUAAAGGUUAUUUAUUGUAAAAAAAUUAUAAUUUAAUAAUUAGUAUUAGAGUAUUAGAAUAAUUAGUUAAGUAUUAGAAUAUUAAAAUAAUUAAAAAAGGAGUGGCGCCAUUAACUGGUGUAGCUUUUUUUUUGCUCCGCUGAUCCAAUUGCGGCGGCAACAGGAAGGCGGUGGAGGUGGGGGGGACGACCGG
rnacentral:lncRNA from 1 species